rnacentral:rRNA from 1 species
AUUGAACGCUGGCGGCAUGCUUUACACAUGCAAGUCGAACGGUAACAGGCCGCAAGGUGCUGACGAGUGGCGAACGGGUGAGUAAUGCAUCGGAACGUGCCCAGUCGUGGGGGAUAACGCAGCGAAAGCUGCGCUAAUACCGCAUACGAUCUAUGGAUGAAAGCGGGGGACCGUAAGGCCUCGCGCGAUUGGAGCGGCCGAUGUCAGAUUAGGUAGUUGGUGGGGUAAAGGCUCACCAAGCCAACGAUCUGUAGCUGGUCUGAGAGGACGACCAGCCACACUGGGACUGAGACACGGCCCAGACUCCUACGGGAGGAAGCAGUGGGGAAUUUUGGACAAUGGGCGCAAGCCUGAUCCAGCAAUGCCGCGUGCAGGAAGAAGGCCUUCGGGUUGUAAACUGCUUUUGUACGGAACGAAAAGGCUCUGGUUAAUACCUGGGGCUCAUGACGGUACCGUAAGAAUAAGCACCGGCUAACUACGUGCCAGCCGCCGCUGUAAAAC